rnacentral:rRNA from 1 species
AGAACGAACGCUGGCGGCAUGCCUAACACAUGCAAGUCGAACGAGACCUUCGGGUCUAGUGGCGCACGGGUGCGUAACGCGUGGGAAUCUGCCCUUGGGUUCGGAAUAACAGCGAGAAAUUGCUGCUAAUACCGGAUGAUGACGUAAGUCCAAAGAUUUAUCGCCCAAGGAUGAGCCCGCGUAGGAUUAGCUUGUUGGUGAGGUAAGAGCUCACCAAGGCGACGAUCCUUAGCUGGUCUGAGAGGAUGAUCAGCCACACUGGGACUGAGACACGGCCCAGACUCCUACGGAGGCAGCAGUGGGAAUAUUGGACAAUGGGCGAAAGCCUGAUCCAGCAAUGCCGCGUGAGUGAUGAAGGCCUUAAGGGUUGUAAAGCUCUUUUACCCGGGAUGAUAAUGACAGUACCGGAGAAUAAGCUCCGGCUAACUCCGUAGCCAGCAGCCGAC